AGAGGAUGGGCAUGCGGCGCAUUAGCUAGACGGCGGGGUAACGGCCCACCGUGGCGACGAUGCGUAGGGGUUCUGAGAGGAAGGUCCCCCACACUGGUACUGAGACACGGACCAGACUCCUACGGGAGGCAGCAGUGAGGAAUAUUGGUCAAUGGGAGAGAUCCUGAACCAGCCAAGCCGCGUGAGGGAAGACGGCCCUAUGGGUUGUAAACCUCUUUUGUCGGAGAACAAAACCCGGGACGAGUCCCGGACUGCGUGUAUCCGAAGAAAAAGCAUCGGCUAACUCCGUGCCAGCAGCCGCGGUAAUACGGAGGAUGCGAGCGUUAUCCGGAUUUAUUGGGUUUAAAGGGUGCGUAGGCGGUCUGUUAAGUCAGCGGUAAAAUUGCGGGGCUCAACCCCGUCGAGCCGUUGAAACUGGCAGACUUGAGUUGGCGAGAAGUACGCGGAAUGCGCGGUGUAGCGGUGAAAUGCAUAGAUAUCGCGCAGAACUCCGAUUGCGAAGGCAGCGUACCGGCGCCAGACUGACGCUGAGGCACGAAAACGUGGGGAUCGAACAGGAUUAGAUACCCUGGUAGUCCACGCAGUAAACGAUGAAUGCUGGUUGUCCGGGUCGAAUGAGACCUGG
rnacentral:rRNA from 1 species